rnacentral:misc_RNA from 1 species
GAAGUAAAAGUCGUAACAAGGUCUCCGUAGGUGAACCUGCGGAGGGAUCAUUACAAGAACGCCCGGGCUUCGGCCUGGUUAUUCAUAACCCUUUGUUGUCCGACUCUGUUGCCUCCGGGGCGACCCUGCCUUCGGGCGGGGGCUCCGGGUGGACACUUCAAACUCUUGCGUAACUUUGCAGUCUGAGUAAACUUAAUUAAUAAAUUAAAACUUUUAACAACGGAUCUCUUGGUUCUGGCAUCGAUGAAGAACGCAGCGAAAUGCGAUAAGUAAUGUGAAUUGCAGAAUUCAGUGAAUCAUCGAAUCUUUGAACGCACAUUGCGCCCCCUGGUAUUCCGGGGGGCAUGCCUGUUCGAGCGUCAUUUCACCACUCAAGCCUCGCUUGGUAUUGGGCAACGCGGUCCGCCGCGUGCCUCAAAUCGUCCGGCUGGGUCUUCUGUCCCCUAAGCGUUGUGGAAACUAUUCGCUAAAGGGUGUUCGGGAGGCUACGCCGUAAAACAACCCCAUUUCUAAGGUUGACCUCGGAUCAGGUAGGGAUACCCGCUGAACUUAAGCAUAUC